rnacentral:rRNA from 1 species
CCUACGGGAGGCAGCAGUGAGGAAUAUUGGGCAAUGGACGAGAGUCUGAACCAGCCAAGUAGCGUGAAGGAUGACUGCCCUAUGGGUUGUAAACUUCUUUUAUAUGGGAAUAAAAUGUUUCACGUGUGGGAUUUUGUAUGUACCAUAUGUAUAAGGAUCGGCUAACUCCGUGCCAUCAGCCGCGGUAAUACGGAGGGUGCGAGCGUUAUCCGGAUUUAAUGGGUUUAAAGGGAGCGUAGGUGGAUUGUUAAGUCAGUUGUGAAAGUUUGGGGCUCAACCGUAAAAUUGCAGUUGAAACUGGCAGUCUUGAGUACAGGAGAGGUGAGCGGAAUUCGAGGUGUAGCGGUGAAAUGCUUAGAUAUCACGAAGAACUCCGGUUGCGAAGGCAACUCACUGGACUGCAACUGACACUGAGGCUCGAAAGUGUGGGUAGCAAACAGGAUUAGAUACCCUUGUAGUC